AAUCAACGCUGGCGGCGUGCCUCAGACAUGCAAGUCGAACGAUUAAAGCUCUCUUCGGAGAGUGCAUAGAGUGGCGCACGGGUGAGUAACACGUAAGUAAUCUACCCUCGAGUGGGGAAUAACAGCCGGAAACGACUGCUAAUACCGCAUAAUGCAGCGGCACCGCAAGGCGACAGUUGUUAAAGGAGCAAUCCGCUUGAGGAGGAGCUUGCGGCAGAUUAGCUAGUUGGUAAGGUAACGGCUUACCAAGGCUACGAUCUGUAUCCGGUCUAAGAGGACGGUCGGACACACUGACACUGAAUAACGGGUCAGACUCCUACGGGAGGCAGCAGUCGGGAAUUUUGGGCAAUGGGCGAAAGCCUGACCCAGCAACGCCGCGUGAAGGAUGAAGUAUUUCGGUAUGUAAACUUCGAAAGAAUAGGAAGAAUAAAUGACGGUACUAUUUAUAAGCUCCGGCUAACCACGUGCCAGCCGCCGCGGUAAAAC
rnacentral:rRNA from 1 species